CUCUUAUUAAGAGUGGCUGAGGGACUGGCCCGAUGAAGCCCGGCAACCGGCAUUCGUUUAGAAUGCAAUGGUGCCAAAUCCUGCAACGAAAAAAUUUUCGUUGAGAGAUGAGAG
rnacentral:ncRNA from 1 species